AAGAUACUGUCAGAUGUAUAGUUCUCCAGCUAUUCUUUAGUUGCUAGAGUAUGGACAAAACCUUACAUUGUUGAAUGAAUUAGCUCUGCAUCUGCUAAAGUAUUUUUAGUAAGACAGUAAUGCAACAGAGCCAUAACAGAGACAGUGUCACAGGAUUUCCCUUUUUGUCUCUUUAAGGAGAAAACAUGUCAGAGCCAGCAGGAGCUUCUGCCCCUCCUGAAGUCACAGGAGAGUCUACAAUUAGUAACAUUACCCCCAAGUCUGGAAAAUGGGGAAGAAUUAGUGUGCUGAAAGGCUGCCAGAAGAGGAGUGCCUGAUGCCUAUUUUUGGAGAUGAAUUACAAAAGGAAAAGGUUGUGGGGAGAGUUAUAUUGAUCAAAAUGGAAAGAACACCAGAAGGAAUAACAAUAGAUUGGAACAAUUGUGCAGAGGCAAAUACCCUUCUCAGUCACUGGCUUUGUAAUCAGCUUGUUUCAUAAAGUUCAUAUCUGACUUUCAGAGAUUGUUUAACAUAUAAAAGUGUCUGCUGGCAUUGUCCCUAAAUACGAUAACAGGUUGAGUCAUUACCAAGAAUUUCAAAAGUCAAGGAAAGAAGAAGUUGCAGCUAUUUAUUGAAAACUGCAUUCUGGUUUCCAGCUACACUUAAGAAAGUAACUGAAGAAAAUGGC
rnacentral:lncRNA from 1 species